GUAGGUACCCAGUAAUUUUUGUUGUAUUGAAUAGGUCCUUUGAAAAUUGAUUAUGAAGAUAAACAAAGAGGACAGAGAAACGGAAUAAAGAACAGAAAAGGAAAGUCAGGAAAAGGAAAAGAUGAAAAUAUUAAAAUCAAAUAGUACCUAAUAAUUUUUUUCAAAUACUAUAUAUUUAAAGUUUUUGCACUAAUGGAAAUGAGUAGCUGUUCCUCACCUUACUGAAGGACUAAAGAAGGCAGAAGAUGUUUAAGGAACAACGUCAAUAAGAAUCAUAUUGGUUGUCAACCCUUAACAAGAUGAACUGCCAAACACCAAGGUAGCGCUGCACAGAAGUGAUAAUAGGGAUGAAUGAUUCAACCUCUGCACUGUACUACAAUACACCCAGGAGUCAUGUACUUCGAGAGUGUUGCUAUGACCACCUUAUGAUUCUGCAGAGUCUCUUCCUCAGUCUCUAGUCUUGUUACCCUUUAGACCUUAGGUUUCCAAUUCCAUCUCAGAAUCUGAGUUGUCCAAAGAAAUGAUAACCUGCAUUUUCCUAGCUUUACCAAAACUGUAACAUAUUAUGACAUUAAACUUUAU